AGAUAAGAAGUGGUUACACGCUUUAAUUUCGAACUAAAGAAAGAAUUUUUCCUUAUCUA
rnacentral:tRNA from 1 species